AAGUUCAAGGUACUAUAGUGUACUUUGCCCUUAAAAAUAUUAUGGGAACCAUGUGGCAUUAUUUUAAUUUUUUUUAUUUUAUUUGUAAAUGGGCUCUAUAAUCUAAUUAAAAAUGAAUUUUUUAAUUGAAAAUAGUGUAAUAUCAGCGGCUAGUAACAUCGUUGGGAUGUUUGGACACCUUCUUUGCUAAGAGAUUUAACAAUGGGGUAUUGGUUUGUCAAAUUCAAGUCACAAGACCAUACUUGAAAAUGGCGGCCCAAACCACAUGGUAUUUCUUUAUACUUUCCCUUAAAACAAUGAUCUAUAUUUUACUGUGGCUUUAAGGUAUUUGGAAGCCCCUUAAUACAAGCUUUACUAGUUACUCAAGUAGUCUUAGAGUUCUUGUUCUAAACCCCAAGUCCAUUGGAGCGCCCAAGAACAGUCUCUUGUUUGAGUGCAUUCAUAUGAAAAUAUAUGAAAAUUUUGUAGUUUAAAGUAUGAAUUUUGCAUAUGAUGUUGACUGAGCUUUUGAUGUGUUUUGAUAAUUU
rnacentral:misc_RNA from 1 species